UUUGAGAGGUUGAAGCUGCCAGCAUGAUCUGGUGAAACAAACACCAUCUCUUUCUUCUCUAACCCCAUGUCUGGAUUCGUCCACCGAUCCAUUAUUAUAGACCAGGCCGCCCGUUUCCCAUGUAGUGAUCGAUAAUUAGGCUCGGGGUUUUCACUUUUUAGUGGGAUCUAAUCCUUAGGAUGGAUGUUUGUAUGGGUGGUAUAUAUCAUGGUGAGGUCUGUUUUCUAUUUUAAUUCUAACGGGGUUUUGAUUUAGCUGAGGGGGUAUAAUUCAUAGCCUAAUUCCAAAACCUAACUCCAUAGAGAUAGGGUUCCAUGAUCAGGUCAUCUUGCAGCUUCAAUCACUCACUCA
rnacentral:pre_miRNA from 11 species